rnacentral:rRNA from 1 species
GACGAACGCUGGCGGCGUGCUUAACACAUGCAAGUCGAACGGUAAGGCCCUUCGGGGUACACGAUUGGCGAACGGGUGAGUAACACGUGGGCGAUCUGCCCUGCACUUGGGGAUAAGCCUGGGAAACUGGGUCUAAUACCGGAUAGGACCACUGCCUGCAUGGGUGGUGGUGGAAAGCUUUUGCGGUGUGGGAUGGGCCCGCGGCCUAUCAGCUUGUUGGUGGGGUGAGUGCCUGCAAAGGCGACGACGGGUAGCCGGCCUGAGAGGGUGACCGGCCACACUGGGACUGAGAUACGGCCCAGACUCCUACGGGAGGCAGCAGUGGGGAAUAUUGCACAAUGGGCGCAAGCCUGAUGCAGCGACGCCGCGUGAGGGAUGACGGCCUUCGGGUUGUAAACCUCUUUCAGCACCGACGAAGCGCAAGUGACGGUAGGUGCAGAAGAAGGACCGGCCAACUACGUGCCAGCCGCCGCCGUAA